UACAUUACAUUGUCCUGUGUAGCUACAAUACAUUGUCCUGUGUAGCUACAAUCCUCUACUGGAGAGGCGUUUGGUCGCUGACAAACAUCUACUUUCUUCCGCAUAAUCCGGUCCUCAGCUGCAUAAUGACCCACCUGGUAGGCUUUAUGUUCCUAGUAAUACUUAACUGUUCAAACUCAACGCUGGUCCGGGGAGUUUACACGGAUGGCGAAGAAUCCAACGGGGAAUGCGUCGUGUUUCCUUGUCAGUACCUAAGAAUACUUCUGGAGCAGGAAAAUGAGAGCGAAAGCGACGAAGGCUCGAACAGUAAUGCGGAAAAAAUGAUAAACAAUCUAGACAAUGUUACUGUGUAAUUUUGGUUUGGAGAUAAAGACUUUGCAAACACCA
rnacentral:lncRNA from 1 species